AAUUCUGAAAGAAGAAUAGGAUCUACAAGUACAACUUCACCAACAACUUCUCAUGUAGUUGUAGAAGACAACAUUGUAAAUAUUAGUACGCCAAAAGGAAUACAUAGGAGAAGUGACUGGUUGGAUGCAAAUGUCGACAUUGAAGAAAGUCUACCGGUGGCAUCUGGCCCUGAAAGACGAGUAUGCAAUUCAUCACCAAGAAGGUCUGUGGCAAGAAGACAUGACUGUUUACAAAAU